AGUGAACGCUGGCGGUAGGCCUAACACAUGCAAGUCGAACGGCAGCACAGUAAGAGCUUGCUCUUACGGGUGGCGAGUGGCGGACGGGUGAGGAAUACAUCGGAAUCUACUUUUUCGUGGGGGAUAACGUAGGGAAACUUACGCUAAUACCGCAUACGACCUACGGGUGAAAGCAGGGGAUCUUCGGACCUUGCGCGAUUGAAUGAGCCGAUGUCGGAUUAGCUAGUUGGCGGGGUAAAGGCCCACCAAGGCGACGAUCCGUAGCUGGUCUGAGAGGAUGAUCAGCCACACUGGAACUGAGACACGGUCCAGACUCCUACGGGUGGCAGCAGUGGGGAAUAUGGGACAAUGGGCGCAAGCCUGAUCCAGCCAUACCGCGUGGGUGAAGAAGGCCUUCGGGUUGUAAAGCCCUUUUGUUGGGAAAGAAAAGCAGCAGGUUAAGACCCCGCUGUUCUGACGGUACCCAAAGAAUAAGCACCGGCUAACUUCGUG
rnacentral:rRNA from 1 species